rnacentral:rRNA from 1 species
UACGGAGGGUGCGAGCGUUGUCCGGAAUCACUGGGCGUAAAGGGCGCGUAGGUGGCGCUGCAAGUCGGUGGUGAAAGCUCGUCGCUUAACGACGAGUCGGCCAUCGAAACUGCAGGGCUCGAGCACUGUAGGGGCUAAUGGAAUUCCGGGUGUAGCGGUGGAAUGCGUAGAGAUCCGGAAGAACACCAGUGGCGAAGGCGGUUAGCUGGGCAGUUGCUGACACUGAUGCGCGACAGCGUGGGGAGCAAACAGG